GAAAAUACUAAUUAGAAUUUUUUUCUUAAAAACACUCAUUCAAACUCGUCAUGAUAAAAUAAUUUUUUUUAUGAGAAUAGCCUUCUUAAGAAACAUUGAAAUCAAUAUUUUGAAUGAAAUAGAUUAUAGUAUUGCUGAUUAAGACUCAAUAUUAACAUUACAAAAGUUAAGACAAUCUGUCUGCCACCCUAGCCCGUUUGUGUCUGCCGCCUCUGGAAAGUUUUUAGGUUUUGUUCUUUGGUCUCUCCUUCUGGUUUUGGGGAGUGUUUGUCCCUGUCAACAUGGAAAACGAGUUAGCCCAAUUAUUAAUCAACGAAGAGGAAGAUGAGGUUAUCAAAAUUCAAGAAAACCCAGGUAUGGGAAGAAGGGAGGAGUUUUUUCAAUUAGUGGGUUGUUUUCUCACAGCAAGCACAAUCCACUUUCCAGCCAUGAAAAGCACUAUGGCAAAUCUGUGGCAUCCUGUUCGAGGAGUUUGCAUUCGGGAUCUGGGGAAUAAAAGGUAAUUGUUUCAGUUUUUUCAUUCUAUGGAUAUGGAGAGGGUUUUGAAGGGCUCCCCUUGGACUUUCAAUAAUCAUCUAUUGAUACUUUAUAAAUUGUGAUGGGGGGAGAAUCCGAUACUGGUCCCCUUAAUUCUAACCCCCUUUUGGGUACAGAUACAUGAAGUGCCUAUUGGUUUGUAUUCGGAAAACCUAGCAGUGAAUCUUGGGAAUUUCUUGGGGUCCUUUAUGGAAUACAACGUGUCAAAUCUAGGGAAUGAAAAAAGAACUUUCAUGAGGGUGAAGGUUCAGGUGGAUAUACGACGCCCCCUGAAGAGGAAGAAGUUAAUUGAAUAUGGUGGGAGAUGUUCAUAUGUCAAUUUUAAAUAUGAAAGACCAACUCUUUUCUGUUUCUUUUGUGGAAAGUUGGGCCAUAAUGACUCGUUUUGUGAGUCAAAAAUGAUAGUUGGAGUGGAAAUAGCUGAGAUGGGAUGGGAUUUAUCAAUAAGUGCACAAUCUCGAAGAGCUUUGACUAUGAAAAGUGUCUGGCUAAGAGAGGAAUGGGAGGGAGACUCAGACGGGUUUCAGGAGGUAAAUAGGAAAGUUAUGAGCGAACCAAGGGGAAUGGAGGAAAAAAAUAGAGUUGGGAAGAUUAUAUACCCAGUUCUAGGGAUUAAUCUGGAUGGGGGUUUAUUAAAAGCUGCUGCAAAACAGGCUAGUUCAAUGACGGACAAUGAUCAACAGGCGAUGGAACACGACUUGGAGAAUAUAGCCCUAGCAGGUGAAGUUGAAAAAAAAAGAUCUAGGAGUGAAAGUGAUGGCCAAACAAAAUAUGAUGAGUCAUACCCCUCAGCAAGAAAUAGAAAAUUAAUAGACCUCAAUCAAUUUACAUCGACGGCUGCCAAGAGGCAAGCCGACCGAACAUUAUGAAAAUAACAAGUUGGAAUGUCCAUGGAUUGGGUAGUCCACGGAUAGUUAGAAGGCUUCAGCAAUCGUUGAAGACUUGUGAUCCCCAAAUAGUCUUCUUUAUGGAGACUAAACUCGGUGGAAAACAGAUGGAAAGAGUUAGAAGGAGAUGUGGCUUUAUAAAUGGUAUUGAGGUGGAUGCGGAGGGAACUAAAGGGGGGCUAUGUUUGCAAUGGAAGAAUGAUGUUAAUAUUUCUUUACAGAACUUCUCUAAAAGACAUAUUGAUGUGAUAAUCCACGAUGAUGAGAAGGGGGUGAUGUGGCGUUUUACAGAUUUUUAUGGCAUCCUGUACGCACAAGAUAAGGAAGACUGUUGGGGGGUUCUGAAAAAUCUCUUCAAUGGAAAUAACAUUCCAUGGUUAAUAUGUGGAGAUUUCAACGAAGUUAUGUACAGUUUCGAGAAGAAGGGAGGCUUACCCCGAGAUGAAAAACAGAUGGAAUUGUUUAGGGAAGCUCUGUUGUUUUGCCAAUUAAAUGAGGUAAUCUUCCGGAUACUAAUAUACGGGAAUGGUUGGAUAGGGGGAGGCGAACACAGAGUGGAUUUCAUUGUUCUCUGAUGUCAACGCUCAACAUUCGGUUCACUCGUUUUCGGAUCACUGUCCUAUCUUAAUUAAUACAAAGAUGGAAGCAAGACGACAAAACAGAAAUAUUUUCAGAACUGAAAGCUGGUGGUUUUUGGAGGACACAUUCAUUCCUGAAGCUGAACAAUUGUGGAAUAUGGCAACAGGAAAUUUUCUGCAGAAAAUGGAAUUCUUCAAGAAGGGGCUUGAGAGUUGGGCUAAAAAUAUUCGUAACACAAAAAUUGGAAAAAAGAAAUUUCUUGAGGCAAAGCUAUCAAAGUUGAUCGAGGCUGAAAGGGGUGACAACAUUUUGGCGGAGUUGAUCAACACCAAAACUAAUUUAAAGGGCCCAUUUGAAUUGGCUAAAAUUAGGGGACCGCAAUACAGGUUUUUUCCAUAGCCAGGCUACCCAAAGGCAGAGGAAAAACAAGAUCAGAAUGUUACAAAAAGCAGAUGAAAAGUCACGGUAGAUUUCCAGGAAAUGGAAGAAAUUGCAAGGUCCUACUUUCAGAAGCUGUUUUCAUCAGAGAAUCAGGUUACUCUGGAGUUUUUACUUUCGGGCAUUGACCGAUGCAUCCAUGAAGAGGAAAAUAAAAAGUUGAUGGCGUCAUACACAGAUGAAGAAAUCCGCGAAGCUCCAGGCGAAGACGGAUUUCCAGCUUUAUUUUACCAAAAGUGCUGGCAUUUUAUUAGAAAGUACAUUGUUACUUUCUGUCUACCGCUUUUGAGUGGAGAUAUGGAGGUUAGUUUAAUUAACACUACUCAUAUUGUGACUCAUUCCAAAAAAUAGUAAUCCAGUUAGCAUGUCACAUUUUUGGCCUAUUCGCUUAUGCAAUGUCAUCUAUAAAAUAAUGGCAAAAGCUAUAGCGAUCAGAUUUAGGGGAGUGAUUGAUAAAUGCAUUGAUAGUGCACAAAGUGCUUCUGGGCCGGGAAGAUUAAUAUCGGAUAAUGUUCUUCUUGCUUAUGAAAUUUUGCAUUCCCUAAAACAGAAAAGAGUAGGUUAAAAGGGUUAUAUGGCGGUAAAAGUGGACAUAAGCAAGGCCUAGAGUUGUAUGGAAUUUCAUUGAAAAAAUAAUGUGUAAGAUGGGUUUCGCUCGAAGCUGGAUUGAGUCAAUUAUAAAAUGCAUGUCUACCGUUUCUUAUAAAGUUGUGGUUAAUGGAAAUAUCAGGGAAUCAUUCUGUCCAUCGAGAGGACUCAGACAAGGGGAACCUUUAAUUCCAUUUCUUUUUUUAAUAUGCGGGGAAGGUCUUUCUAGCCUUAUGAGAAAAGCAACCAAUGAAGGUUUUCUGAAGGGGGUCAAAGUAAGCAGAAGAGGCCCACAGGUAUCCCAUUUGUUAUUUGCAGAUGAUUGCAUUCUUUUUGGGGAGGCAUCAAGUAGAUGGGCAAAGGCAAUUAAGGAUAUUUUAGGGGAGUACAAAAGAGGGUCGAGACAGUUGUUAAUAUGGACAAAUCAUCCAAUUUCUUCAGCAAAAACACGAAGGAAGUAGACAGAAUUCGGGUGGUAAACCUGCUGGGAAUCUGAAGUUCAAACGAGCCAGAACGUUACCUAGGUUUGCCGACCAUGGUUGGAAGAAAAAAGGCUUCUUUUCAGGUUUUGAAAGAUAGACCAAGGAAGCACAUUGACAAUUGGAUCACGAGAUUUUUAUCGCAGGGCGGGAAAGAAGAUUAAAUUGAAGCAGUCCUACAAGCCAUACCAACAUACUCAAUGGCAUUUUUUUAGUUCCAAAAACAUUAUGCGAGGAAAUGGAUGCAAUUAUUGCGAAGUUUUGGUAGGAAAAGGGUCAUGGCAAAGGGGGAAUUCAUUGGUGUUUAUGGAAUAAUCUGUGCAGUUUAAAAGAAAAUGGAGGCUUGGGUUUUCAAAAUCUCAGUCAGUUUAAUAUUGUGUUAUUAGCCAAACAGGGGUGGCGUCUUUUUAAUUAUCCAAAUUCACUUUUAGCCAGAGUCCUUAAAGCAAAAUAUUAUCCACAGUCAGAUUUUUUAAGAGCAGAGCUGGGAAAUUUACCUUCUCUUACCUGGAAGAGUAUCUGGGCAGCAAAGAAACUUCUUAUUCAGGGGCUUAGUUGGAGAAUUGGAAGAGGAAAUAAUGUUUCCAUAUGGACAGAUCGAUGGAUUCCAGGGAUCGAACCUAGUACAUGGCAGAAUGGAAAUGAGAACAGGGAACUAAAAACAGUAUCAGACUUAAUUGAUGGCACAAGCAAGCAGUGGAAAACGGAGAUUAUCUUUAGUACCUUUCAAGUAGACAUAUCUCAGAAAAUUUUGAAGAUACCACUUGCAGAAACGGACAGCGAAGAUUUGAGAGUUUGGAAAGGAGAGGCGACUGGAGAGUUCUCUGUUCGGAGCGCCUACAAACUAUUACAAGAAGAUGUUUUGUCUCCUAAUAAUUUAUUACAAACCGAGCUUAAAGAAUUCUACAGAAAGCUAUGGAAUUUACAACUUCCAUCAAAAAUCCUACUGCUAGUCUGGCGGAUAUCCUGGAACUAUAUGCCUACCCUAGUUAACCUACGAAAUAAGCGAAUAUCCACAAUCGUGAGAUGCCCUCGAUGUGGCUUCGGCGAAGAAGACAGCUUCCAUGUGUUUCGACAAUGCCCUACAAGUAUAGAAGUUUGGCAGAAUAUUAGCAUGGGCUGGGUUACAAUUUUUUCAGAUCAAAACAUUAGAACAUGGCUUACAUGGGUUCUUGAAAAAGGUACCAAAGAACAGAAUCUGGUAUUUUGCUGCGCUUUAUGGGUCAUAUGGAACUCCCGUAAUCAGUUGGUACAUGAAAGAAAACAUCUUUCAGGAAGGAUUCUUGCACAAAAAAUAGAAAGCUAUAUAGCAGAACUUGAAGGGGUGGGUAAGGAAAAACAUACCUGGGGGACUGAUAGACUACAGAAACAUUCGGAGGAGGAGCCGGAGGACACAAUUCUUUUUGAUGCAGCUUUCGAGGCAAAUAGAUCCAGAUCGGCGUCAGGGGUCAUUGCACGUAAUAGGAGGGGAGAGAUGAAAGUUUUAAAAACGUCCCUUCAUUCCAAUGUCUCAUCUCCUUUCCUUGCAGAGGCUUUAGCUUGUCUACAGGCAGUCAAAUUGGGAAUUUCACUGGGUCUCUGAUCAGCCACAAUAAGGGGAGACUCGAAAACAGUCAUUAAAAAAUGUCAAUCGGCAGAAAGGGAUAAAUCAAGCAUAGGAGUAGUUAUCAACGAUAUAAAAAAUCAUAGUUUGCUAUUCCACGAAGUCAGUUUCCAGUUCAUCCAAAAGUCAGAGAACUAUCAAGCCCACGAAAUAGCGAAGGAAACACUAGCAACUGAGAAUGAGAGAUACCUGGUAAGAGAUGAGUUGUUCCACAACGAAGGAGUGACGGUAGAAGAAUGGCCUAGAAAUCCAGAUUGAAGGAAAUUUUUCAAAGAAGAAGACUCUUGAAAAUGGUAACAGGAAUGAAGAAAAAAGGUUUUUGGGAACUUGUUAUCUCACUGACAGAUGUGACGAUUCAGUAUGAAAAGAAGAAAUUUUAAAUGCUUCCAGGCUGUCUGAUUUGACUGGGCAAUUAAACUAGGUUCAGCGUUUUAUUUUUUAUUUAAUUCUUUUUAUUAGGUCAGGUUUUUAUGGGUAAAAUCUGCUAUACGUUUUUGCUUGGGUAGUUUUUUAGAUAACUUUAAGCCCAAUUAUAUUGGGUUUUCUAUGUUGUUUUUUUCUUUCUUUAAUGACAG
rnacentral:lncRNA from 1 species